rnacentral:tRNA from 1 species
CGCCAAGCGGUAAGGCAACGGGUUUUGAUCCCGUCAUACCUAGGUUCGAAUCCUAGC